rnacentral:rRNA from 1 species
UACAGAGGGUGCGAGCGUUGUCCGGAAUCACUGGGCGUAAAGGGCGCGUAGGCGGCUUGAUAAGCGUGCGGUGAAAGCCCGGGGCUCAACCCCGGGUCGGCCGUGCGAACUGUCGAGCUGGAGCACUGUAGAGGCAGGUGGAAUUCCGGGUGUAGCGGUGGAAUGCGUAGAGAUCCGGAAGAACACCGGUGGCGAAGGCGGCCUGCUGGGCAGUGGCUGACGCUGAGGCGCGACAGCGUGGGGAGCAAACAGU